AUUUAUAUAGUUUAAUAAAAACUUUACAUUUUCAUUGUAAAAAUAAAGGACUUUCUUUUAUAAAUU
rnacentral:tRNA from 1 species